UUCUGCUAUGUUACCCUACAGCCGGGGAGAUAGUAAACUGGUGGUGGCCACCUGGGCGCCACAAAAAGACCUUAGCAAAACUUCUCAUCUUCCUCUCUUCCCGGAAAAAUUCGAUAAGUUAAGCAACAGUAAACCCCUGAUGGUGGCGAUGACGGAUGACUCCAUGCAUGCUGUAAUAAUGCGAGACGAUCCUACAGUGUCAGGGAAAAAGAGAAUCUGGUAUAAAGGUUAUAUGGUGUCACUCAUGGAUAAUCUUGCAGAAAGUCUCAACUUCACGUUUUCUUUUAAGCCGUCGCCAGAUGGUACAUGGGGCGCUAAGUUGCCAAGCGGCCGAUGGACUGGUAUGGUGGGGCAAGUUAACAGAAAGGAGGUGGACAUUGGACUUGGACCCUUCGCUAUGAGCCCAUCUCGAGCCACAGUUGUUGAUUUCACCUCGCCAGUGCAAGUAAUUGCAGUCAGGGUGCUUGCUGGUCGUGGC